CCCUCUUCUACUUAUUAUUACUUGCCAACCUUGAUACUGAUAUAUGCUUAAUUUCUUAUAUCUAGAAAUCCCACUAAUAAUUUACUCUCUUCUUCUCUAGAAAUCCCUUGGAGAUCAGUACUGCAACAUGUCUGCAGAAGCCAUAAUAGGCUACUGGUUUGCAUAAAGAUGAUAAUUCAUAGGAUUAUUCAUGUUCAAGUUUAUGUUCAUGUUCAUGUUCAUGUUUAUGUUGAACAUUAAAAAAUCAGCAGCAGGCUCAGUAAAAACAUU
rnacentral:lncRNA from 1 species